ACAAGCGGCCUGCUAUGGACAUUUAAACUCCACUCGCCACCAGACCAAUGCCACUUCCUCCUGACCGGCAACACGCAUCACGCUGGUCAAGAGCAGCCCCCGGACGAAGUGGACCGGACACUCUGCACGGCCCAUCGGAUUCCCUGGGCAUCCUGGAGGCAUAUCAGACCGAGAACUAGCCAGGACCGGUUCGGAGCCAGCCGCCGGCGGACUAAGAUUCACGUCGCAAGAAUCAGAUUCUUCGGGUUGUGAAGACAGAAGAAAGAAUCCCAGUGAAGGCAACAUCAGAAGAGCUUUGCAAAAUGGAGUCAGAGGCCACAGGAGGCAGGACUUGGGCGUCAUCCAAGCUGCCUGGGGCAGGAGCUCCAGCUACUUCUGGCUGCCGGCAGCUAGGAAGAAGGGGGUGUUACACUGUGCCCACGACUCAAGGAGCGGGUCAGGAGAUGGAGGACUGAUUUUAUGUCCAUUUUUACUAAGACUAGACAUACUUUCUCUAUCUGGCCCCUAUUCUUGUCUCCACUCCAAAAGAGGUCUCUCCACAAAAGAAUGCUUACUGCCUUGUGACAUGAUAGCACUGUCCUCUAAGCUCCCACCUUCUUCAGCCCACCCCCACCCUGUGGCUAUCUGAAUCUGUUUCCAUAAUCACAACUCCUGACACCCCAGAUAAAGUCCCUUUGACUUUUGCAGUCUGAGUCUGGAUGCCUCCCAAAGCUCAGCUGCCUUCCAGAGUCAUCAUCCAGGAAGUGAAGUGGCAACAGUAACCCUCACCAGGACUCUCCUGUUCUCCCUGAUUAUCGUGUCCUCAUCUGUAGAAGGGGAACAACGGUACCAUGCGUGGCAGGGCUGAUGAGGAGAAGCUCAAGAAGCUACUUCAGUCCAGGCGCCGGUGGCUCAUGCCUGUAAUCGUAGCUACCCAGGAGACAUAGAUCAGGAGGAUCACAGUUCAAAGCCAGCCCCAGGCAAAUAAUUCACGAGACCCUAUCUCAAAAAAAACACAUCACAAAAAAGGGCUGGUGGAGUGGCUCAAGGUGUAGACCCUGAGUUAAAAAAAAAAAAAAAACAGUACCCAAAAAAAAGCUACUACAGCAGGACUUUCUUCCUUCUGCUUGGCAGUGCUCAGUGCUAGGCUGUCUGGGACUGGAGAAGGACACUUACCACCUGCCAUCAGCAGAGCCAGGACUGUCUGCAGCUUCACCUCAAUCUGACAUGGAAGGGAAGAGGCAGCCUCAGCUUCCUCUCACUGGAGCUGAGCCCAGUUCCUGGAAGGGGCUCUGGUAGAGGCAGCCCAGGGGGAGAUUGCAUUACGACCCCACUACGGUGGCCUCCAGGACAGGGAAGUGUUCCUGGCAGAGGUGGAGGAUUAACUUGCAGUCCCUGGAGGGAAGGGGGCUGGGGAUGAUGAAACAUACCCCUUUCCACCCUGUCCCAACCUUCCUGCCAGCAGGAGGGAGGUGAGGGUUUGCUCAAAAAUUCCCUCUCAAAGCUAGGCAGUAUCAGCCCCCUUUUUAUGACCACAAACUGAGGCUCCGAGAAGCAAGGUCACACACUGGGAAGUGGCCCAGUUGAGAGAAAUAGGGUGGGCUUUCCUACCAGCCGCUAUUCCUU
ensembl:lncRNA